GAUGAACGCUGGCGGCGUGCCUAAUACAUGCCAGUCGAGCGAACAGACGAGGAGCUUGCUCCUCUGACGUUAGCGGCGGACGGGUGAGUAACACGUGGAUAACCUACCUAUAAGACUGGGAUAACUUCGGGAAACCGGAGCUAAUACCGGAUAAUAUAUUGAACCGCAUGGUUCAAUAGUGAAAGACGGUUUUGCUGUCACUUAUAGAUGGAUCCGCGCCGCAUUAGCUAGUUGGUAAGGUAACGGCUUACCAAGGCAACGAUGCGUAGCCGACUUGAGAGGGUGAUCGGCCACACUGGAACUGAGACACGGUCCAGACUCCUACGGGAGGCAGCAGUAGGGAAUCUUCCGCAAUGGGCGAAAGCCUGACGGAGCAACGCCGCGUGAGUGAUGAAGGUCUUCGGAUCGUAAAACUCUGUUAUUAGGGAAGAACAAAUGUGUAAGUAACUAUGCACGUCUUGACGGUACCUAAUCAGAAAGCCACGGCUAACUACGUG
rnacentral:rRNA from 1 species